UUGAGAUUUUCCUGAAGGCAAGUGGAACCUUAAUUCACCGAGGAACCUUUAUUUUGAAAUGUCCAUCUCAACAAGCGGAAGUCGUUUUUUCCUCACCCCGACCGGAUGACUCACUUCACUAAUGGGGUAGAGUGCUGGAAUAGAUUGAAAGCCUUGUCUGACCCACACUCCAGGACAGGUGGCGGUAAUGCGACAAAGCUGGUUGCCAACCGCCAUAAAACAGAAAUAAGAAGAAGAAGAGUCACUUCACUGCAUCGUCUGAAGUUAUAGUAGUCACAGCGUACAGGGUGGGUGGAAGGAGAGGUGAUUUAAUCGAUUCUGCGAUCCAGUGUACUCACAGAACAAGGCUAGUUCCGUUGGACUGUUGAGGUUGAGCUAUAUUUCAAGGGGUGAUGUAAUAUUUUUCCUUUGACACUUAAGGGACGAUGUCACGGAAAGACGGCAAAGGAGCUGAGGAUGACAUGUUAAAUUCGGUAAGUUUGUUUAACAUGACCUCGGCAUUUUUUAAUCCGCGUUUUAUAACUCCUUUCUUUCCCCUUAGAUGGAGAAAACGAUGCAACAACUUCAAGACAGAUUUCAGACUGUCUCCGAGCAAAUCGAGAAAAAGAAUAUCCUUUCUGAGUGAACGACCCAAAUGUAACUUACUAUACUCCUUGACUUUGGCUUUCAGCUUCACUUUUGGCAGCUUGGUUAAAAAUCACAGCAUUGGGCAGAAUUGCUUAAAUGUGUAUUGAGCUUGCAGCGUUAAGUCAAACAUAACAAACUUAAGGCAUGUCUCGACAUCCAAACACUUGACCGUAGAACGUGAUCAGCCUGCAGUCUUUGUGCAAUAUGCAACAAAUCUUAAAGUAAAGCAGUAUGAUGAUUUUUAAGUGAAGACAUACUACAUUAAUUAAAAAUUAAGACAAAGACUUCGUAAAUUAAAAACAACUGACUUUCAAAAGCAAAGAAAAUACCUGGCAACAAAAGAAAGUAGCCUAAUUAUAGUUUGGUUUUAAGUUAAAAGUAGUAGCUAUAAAUUUGAUGUUUUUUUUUUUGUUUUGUUUUGUUGUUUUUUGUUUUUUUCCGGUUCCUGCCUGUAGACUUUUUCCUUAACUUUGGCACUGUUUGAAAUGGGAACCCGCAUCGAUGAACUGGAGAAGAACAUAGCUGAGCUCAUGGAACAGGCUGGCACAGAGGAGUAGGCCUUGUUUGGAGUCACAGCAAGUAUGUGGUUAUCUGUGGAAUGACUUCUUGUGGUGGACUUACAGAUACUGAAGUUUGCUGUUGUGCCUAUGAUGAUGAAACUCCUAGGCAUCUACAAAGCUCCACACAUAUCAAAAACUCUCAAAGUGAACUUUGUGUGCUUGUAACCCUAACCCUUUACACCAGUUAAUAGCCAUUUUAAAGCAAGAGAAAAAUAAUAUUGUCUUGUUCCAUGAGAUCCAAAUACAAAACCCUAUUUCAUUGAAGUUGGGAAAUUGUGAUUAAUGUAAAUAAAAACAGAAUACAAUGAUUUGCAAAUUCUUCUUAACCUAUAUUCAACUGAAUACACUACAAAAACAAGAUGUUCAAUAUUCAAAAUCAUGAACUUUAAAUUUGAGGAAUGCUCAUCAAACACCUAUUUGGAACAUCCCACAGGUGAGCAGGCUAAUUGGGAACAGGUGAGCAGGCUAAUUAGGAACAGGUGGGUGCCAUGAUUGGGUAUAAAAGCAGCUUCCCCAAAAAUUCUCAGUCAUUCACAAGCAAGGAUGGGCCGAGGUUAACCACUUUGUGAACGACUGUAUGAGCAAAUAGUCAAACAGUUUAAGAACAAUGUUUCUCAAAGUACAAUUGCAAGGAAUUUAGGGAUUUCAGCAUCUACGGCCCAUAAUAUCAUCAAAAGGUUCAGAGAAUCUGGAGAAAUCACUGCACGUAAGCGGCACGGCCAGAAACCAACAUUAAAUGCCCAUGACCUGCGAUCCCUCAGGCGGCACUGUAUCAAAAACCAACAUCAAUGUGUAAAGGAUAUCACCACAUGGGCUCAGGAACACUUCAGAAAACCACUGUCAGUAAAUACAGUUUGUCGCUACAUCUGAAAGUUCAAGUUAAAACUCUACUAUUGCAAAGCCAAAGCCAUUUAUCAACAACAUCCAGAAACGCUGCCAGCUUCUCUGGGCCCGAGCUCAUCUAAGAUGGACUGAUGCAAAGUGGAAAAAGUGUUCUGUGGUCUGACGAGUCCACAUUUUAAAUUGUUUUUGGGAAUAGUGGAUGUUGUGAAGGCAACAUUAAUGCUGAAAGGUACACACAGGUUUUGGAGCAACAUAUGCUGCCAUCCAAGCAACGUCUUUUUCAUCGACGCCCCUGCUUAUUUCAGCAAGACAAUGCCAAGCCACAUUCUGCACGUGUUAAAACAGCGUGGCUUCGUAGUAAAAAAGUGCGGGUACUCGACUGGCCUGCCUGCAGUCCAGACCUGUCUCCCAUUGAAAAUGUGUGGCGCAUUAUGAAGCGUAAAAUAUGACAAUGGAGACCAUGGACUGUUGAACAACUGAAGCUGUACAUCAAGCAAGAAUGGAAAAGAAUUCCACCUUCAAAGCUUCAACAAUUAGUCUCCUCAAUUGCCAAAUGUUUAUUGAGUGUUGUUAAAAGGAAAGGUGAUGUAACACAGAGGUAAACAUGCCCCUGUCCCAACUACUUUGGCACGUGUUGCAGGCAUGAAUUUCUGAGUUAUUUAGUAUUUGCAAAAAAAAUAAAAAUAAAGUUUAUAAGUUUGAACAUUAAAUAUCUUGUCUUUGUGGUGUAUUCAAUUGAAUAUAGGUAAAAAAAAAAAGAUUUGCAAAUCAUUGUAUUCUGUUUUUAUUUACGUUUAUCACAAUUUCCCCAACUUCAAUGGAAUUGGGUUUUGUAACCCCCCCCCCCCCCAAAUAUUCUCUGAUAGUAAACCAUUGCUGUAUCACUGGUUGAAGAGCUUUGUUAUGUUUUGUUAACUAAUAUUUUCUUUUUUUAUCUAUUACCUCAAAUAAUGAGGUACUUUUGGGUUUCCUAAAUAUCCAAUUAGAGUGUUGAUGACAGGGGUCUUAUAGGGUAUAGCACAACAAUUAUUCAUGCAUGCACAAGCUGUAGUUGUAUACAGGAGAAGUUUAAGAUUUGUCACCUAAUAAAAAAAUGAGGGAUUUUAUCUGUGCAGUCAGUCUGGCCAUUGACAAUGAAGACAAAAAGACUGGACAAUAAUAUCACUAUAACUGUUCCAAGGUAUAGCUACUCUCUAAUGCUAAAGCCAAGGCGCAUAUAAAGGGUAUUUUUGUUUUCUAAUGAAAAAUGUUACAUAUAGCACAUUUUUUAUCUUGUUUUUAUCUGUUCUUAUUACAUCAUAUUGUUUCUUCAAACGAGUGCACAUUGCCAGGGUGCAAAAAAGGCAGUUAUAUCACCUAAAAUGCACUAAGAGGGAUCUUAGAAUGACUGUUAAAAGAAAUCGAACACAAAAUCACCAAAGCCAUUUAAAUAAAAGAACUGUUUUAAGUAAUUUAAGAUCUCUUCUUUACACCAGAGUAGCCUAACAAUGUCCCCAUUUUAUGCAGUGAAUCACAGUGGCAGUGAUUUAUGAAAGCAGUUUUGGGUUAGCCAACCAUUUGUUCUGUUUGAUUAUAUACUGUUAAUGCAAAUAAUCCCUGAAAUUAGGAUCAUAUCUGACAAGUAUGCAAUGUAAUGUGUAACUGUAAUUUAGAUCUUGUCAUUCUUUGUACGGUAACCUUUUGUAAAACAUUCUUGAUGCAUGUGCUGCUGCUCCUGGACUAGUAGUCAGAUCAUUUGAUAGCUUAGAUGGCAAUUUGUGACUAUUUUCACUGUGCACUAAAAACUAUUAAAAAACAAAUUAUCUGCUGUUGUGUUGGUUUCCCACAUUGAAGCUUUUUCUUUCUCCCACACUGUAAGAAAAUGUUCAGGGAAGUUUUUAAUUUAUUAAUAAGAAAGUCUGGGCCUAACAUUUCUCUUGAAAAAAGGCAAUUUCCACUUCAUCUCCCAAGUUCAACAUCAGGAGUUUUUUCACGGUAAGGUUCCAGCAUGUGUGAUUUUAUUUUUUAGGAAUGGCCCUUUACUGAUACUACAAGCGCUUAACAACUACUUAUUUUAAGUUUACUGAACUUAGACAUAAGUAAGCAACUUAUAUUUCUUAGCCUGCCUAUUUCAGUAUUUUUAGGAAGUCAGGUUACAAAUUAUUUUAAGUUGUACCAGCAAUUUUUGCAGUACUUCUACACAACCAUCAUCUGUCACUCUUUGGUUUGGGUCAGCAACCAAACAGGACAGGGACAGACUUCAACAGAUUAUCAGGACUGCGGAAAAAAAUCACAGAGGCCAACCUGCCCUCCAUCCAGGACUUAUAUCAGUCCAGGGUCAGGAAACGUGCAGGUAACAUUACUACAGACGCCUCACACCCUGGACAUACACUAUUUAAACUCCUUCCCUCUGGUAAGCAUUACAGAUCACUGUAGACCAAAACAAGGAUGGCUUCUUCCCCCGGACCGUUGGUCUGAUGAACUCCUAACGUUCACAGAGACACAGAACAACCUCUGUGCAAUAACCUGUAUACAAACAUUCACUGUGAUUGUAAAUAACAGUUUAUCAUACAACCCUUAUAAUGACAUUUAUUCACAGAAAUUCCCACAUGUUAACUGCCGACAUCAUCCUCUCAUCUGACAUGUACCUCUGCAUACCAUUAUUUAAAAUCUAAUAUUUAUUGUCAAAAGACUAUUCAAUCAAAUGUAUAUUUACCUAAUGUACAUAACCCACCUGUUAUAUAAUGACAUAUGUAUAUAUUUUUCUCACUCAACAUUCCUCUGCACUCCUCACCAUUGCAAUACUGCCUGAAAUAAUCUUGUAUACAUAAGUGAAAGGUCUAAGCUUGUAAAUUUUGUGUAAACCUUUAUACUAAAUGUAGGUACAUAGCAAAGUCUACCAGAGUCAAUGUCCUUGGAUGUGUAACAUUCUUAACCAAUAAAGCUAAUUCUGAUUCUGUAUUUUGAAAAUAUUGAAAAUAAAUCAACAUUGUUAAUCAUGA